rnacentral:rRNA from 1 species
AUACGUAGGGUGCAAGCGUUAAUCGGAAUUACUGGGCGUAAAGCGUGCGCAGGCGGUUUUGUAAGACAGAGGUGAAAUCCCCGGGCUCAACCUGGGAACCGCCUUUGUGACUGCAAGGCUAGAGUACGGCAGAGGGGGAUGGAAUUCCGCGUGUAGCAGUGAAAUGCGUAGAUCUGCGGAGGAACACCGAUGGCGAAGGCAAUCCCCUGUGCCUGUACGAACGCUAAUGCACGAAAGCGUGGGGAGCAAACAGGAUUAGAUACCCUGGUAGUCCGCGCACUCAACGAUGUCAACUGGUUGUUGGGGAUUUAUUUUCUGAGUAACGAAGCUAACGCGUGAAGUUUUCCGCCUGGGGAGUACGGCCGCAAGGUGAAAACUCAAAUGAAUUGACGGGG